rnacentral:rRNA from 1 species
CCUGGUCUUGACAUCCACGGAAUCCUGCAGAGAUGCGGGAGUGCCGCAAGGAACCGUGAGACAGGUGCUGCAUGGCUGUCGUCAGCUCGUGUCGUGAGAUGUUGGGUUAAGUCCCGCAACGAGCGCAACCCUUAUCACUAGUUGCCAGCACGUAAUGGUGGGAACUCUGGUGAGACUGCCUGGGUGAACCAGGAGGAAGGUGAGGAUGAGGUCAAGUCAGCAUGGCCCUUAUGUCUGGGGCUACACACGUGCUACAGUGGUCGGUACAAUAGGCAGCAAAGCCGAAAGGUGGAGCAAAUCCUUAAAGCCGAUCCCAGUUCGGAUUGUAGUCUGCAACUCGACUACAUGAAGUUGGAAUUGCUAGUAAUGGCGUGUCAGCAAUAACG